AUGAUUGAAAAUCUUAGUCAUCUACAACUACUAAUAAAUGAUUCCUCAAAAAGUUAUGGAUUACUAAUACAUUUUAGAGAUCAAAUAGAUUCUGUCUUAUACUAAUGCUAGGAUGGUAAUUACAAGAUAGAAUUAGAUUAAUUCUUUUGGUUAUCAUGUAGAAUUCAUACUCUGAUCCACCACCACCAUCUCUCUGCUGCAGGGAAAGACCAUAAUCUCUACUGAUGGCUUUUGUAUUUCCAGCAGCAGAUAUGUGAUUCAUUUAUUAAGGAAAUGUGACCAUGAUUUCCAUUUCCAUUUAUUAAGGAAAUGUGUACAUUAUAUUAGUUUCAUCUUCAUCUUAUGUGCACUGAAAAGAAUACAUUUAUCAACCUUUCUCCAUUGUGAGAUCCUACAGAUAGUGUCAGGCUUUGACUAUGCAGGAAUGCUAUUCUAAUGGGGAGUGUCAAAACUCCAUCACCUUUUCAUCAUACCAGCAAGCUUAAGUUGAUUCCUUUGGGAAGAACAGACAUCCAUCAUAUGCUGCUGAUGGCAAUUUUAAAUUAGAACAUUAUCUUUUCAACUCUCAUUUGAUUAAUCUGUGCAUUGAUGAGUAGUAAAGAACAAAGCAGAUCUAAUAUAAUGUGCUCCACACAGAUCCUAAAAUUGCCCAACAAGACCACUUGAACAACCUAGUUUUGCUUGCCAAUGCUCUCCAGAGCAGUGUCUCACCAUAUCCAAGACAACAAAUUGCUGCAUCCAUUAAAGCAAGCUAUAGACACUGUUGGAGAAGUUGAUUAGGUGACCACUACUCCAUUGAGUUAUGACUGAGAGGUAACAGGUCAGCUUUGCAGCAGCCAUGUAUUUGGAGGAUUGCAUGACUUAUUCCCAGCUUCCUAGUUUACUUGAUUUUUCUUUGUACUUCUCUUUGCAUGAUUGUCUCAAUUCAUUUGUCUCAAGCCUUGAGUCUUGAUGUGAUUGACAAUGGAACACAUAAUGAUAAAGUAGGUUUAACCAAACAUUGACUUAAGAAGUGUUUCAAUCUUCAAUCAUGGCAUUCACUUAAAAUUUACCAAACAAAACAGGAUAAUAUAGCAAGAGGAUGAUAGUCUAUCAGGCAAUAUUAUGGAAUAUGGAUCAUGAAUAAUGCACAAUCCAAGUGGACAGUCUUGUUAUUGUCCAUCAAUACUAUACCCACAAUCUAAAAUCAUUUUUUCAUGCAGUCUAUGGUGCAAUGCACAAUGGCAGUCUACAUUGUAUCACCUCACAUUGCUGCAUAAUCUACAUUCUCCUUUCACUGUUAAUGACACAACUCUAGGAUAGAUUCUUUAAGUUGCAUGAAGGAAUGAAAAGAGGCUAUGGUGUAAGAUAGAAACAUGAAGUUUGAAGAGGAGUGCAAGUAAAUUUCACAGUAUUGGUUUUCACAAUACCUCUAGGAUACAUCAUGAACAAUUGACUUCAGCCAAAAGCAAUGGCUGGUCUUGCCUGCUUAAUAGAAGAAUUAUAUAUAUAUAUAUAUAUAU
rnacentral:lncRNA from 1 species